UUCAUUCUGUCUUUCUGCUUCUGACACUCACAAGCCUCCCUCUGAACUGUUCUUAACUCUGACCAGCUGAACCAAGCGUAAAUUGAUGGGCUCUACACCAGAAAAUGUCUUUUAUUUCACUGAAAAUGUUGUCUGAAUGAAAACCAAAAGAUUGUGUCAUUCAUCAUACUGGGCAUUCUUUCAACAAAGGGAUUUCAAGAAAAUCUCUGGUUCAGCAAAUGCAUAAAAGAGAAUCUUUUGAUUUUCAUAGCUGUACAGUGCAGCACUAGCAGGCUUCCCACAUACACAACCCCCAUGAUGGAUCUGCUACACUCCAAAUCAUGUGAGUGACAACAGGUUUGACAGCCUUUGGGGCGGUGAAGGAUCUGG
rnacentral:lncRNA from 1 species